ACUAUUUUGGCAGAAAAUUGUAUUAAAUUUAGAUUUUAUAGAUAUGUAUAUAGUUACAUAAAUAGUA
rnacentral:tRNA from 1 species